UGGGGAAUAUUGCACAAUGGGCGCAAGCCUGAUGCAGCGACGCCGCGUGAGGGAUGACGGCCUUCGGGUUGUAAACCUCUUUCAGUAGGGACGAAGCGAGAGUGACGGUACCUGCAGAAGAAGCGCCGGCCAACUACGUGCCAGCAGCCGCGGUAAUACGUAGGGCGCAAGCGUUGUCCGGAAUUAUUGGGCGUAAAGAGCUCGUAGGCGGUUUGUCACGUCGGCUGUGAAAUCCCGAGGCUCAACCUCGGGCUUGCAGUCGAUACGGGCAGACUAGAGUGGAGCAGGGGAGACUGGAAUUCCUGGUGUAGCGGUGAAAUGCGCAGAUAUCAGGAGGAACACCGAUGGCGAAGGCAGGUCUCUGGGCUUUAACUGACGCUGAGGAGCGAAAGCGUGGGUAGCGAACA
rnacentral:rRNA from 1 species